rnacentral:rRNA from 1 species
UACGAAGGGUGCAAACGUUGCUCGGAAUUAUUGGGCGUAAAGAGCUCGUAGGCGGUUUGUCGCGUCUGCCGUGAAAGUCCGGGGCUCAACUCCGGAUCUGCGGUGGGUACGGGCAGACUAGAGUGAUGUAGGGGAGACUGGAAUUCCUGGUGUAGCGGUGAAAUGCGCAGAUAUCAGGAGGAACACCGAUGGCGAAGGCAGGUCUCUGGGCAUUAACUGACGCUGAGGAGCGAAAGCAUGGGGAGCGAACAGG